rnacentral:snoRNA from 1 species
AUGUCUAGGUUUGGAAAUUUUAUGUACAAACUCUUGUACCGUUCCUAUGCUUCUGGACAGCUCUUGAGGUCUUUCUGUUUAAAUGUAUAUAUUUCAUUUCGAAUUU